UACGUAGGGCGCAAGCGUUAUCCGGAAUUAUUGGGCGUAAAGAGCUCGUAGGCGGUUUGUCGCGUCUGCGGUGAAAGUCCGGGGCUCAACUCUGGAUCUGCGGUGGGUACGGGCAGACUAGAGUGAUGUAGGGGAGACUGGAAUUCCUAGUGUAGCGGUGAAAUGCGCAGAUAUCAGGAGGAACACCGAUGGCGAAGGCAGGUCUCUGGGCAUUAACUGACGCUGAGGAGCGAAAGCAUGGGGAGCGAACAGG
rnacentral:rRNA from 1 species